GCGGGUAUGGUUUAGUGGUAGAACACAUCCUUGCCAAGGAUGGGAUUCGGGUUCGAUUCCCGGUACCCGCACCA
rnacentral:tRNA from 1 species